CGCAUAUAUAAAGCUCUCAAAUUUCACACUAUCACCACACCUCCAAUUGUAUAAUCAUACAAUUAACAGAAAUACAAUGGCCAGAUUGACUUCCUUAAAAUAUUCAGCUGCAAUUCUAAUAUUGCUAUAUGCCUUGACCUUUUCAUUCUCAGUGAGUGCACGACCCGCCACUUUUUUACAGGACUUUAAGGUCUCUUGGUCCGACUCUCACAUCAAACAAAUUGAUGGUGGCAGGGCCAUUCAGCUUAUUCUCGACCAAAACUCAGGCACGAAUUCAAUUUUUUUUUUCUGGUAUAGGUUUAAUGUCAUACCCAUGCAUGAGUUAUGAAAAUGAUAAUUUACUGAUACUUUUAUUUCAGGAUGUGGGUUUGCUUCCAAAAGCAAAUACCUCUUUGGACGUGUUAGCAUGAAGAUCAAGCUCGUACCUGGUGACUCUGCUGGAACCGUCACUGCCUUUUACGUACGUAAGAACAGAGUUGUUAAUUUUAUACUAGACUUCAUGUUCAAUAAAAAUUCUGCAUGACAUUUUUUUGCAGAUGAACUCGGACACAGACAACGUAAGGGACGAACUAGACUUCGAGUUCUUGGGAAACCGGUCAGGCCAGCCGUAUACUGUCCAGACGAAUGUUUAUGUUCAUGGAAAAGGUGACAAGGAACAAAGAGUCAACCUUUGGUUCGAUCCAUCCGCUGAUUUUCACACUUAUACCAUUCUUUGGAACCACCACCACGCCGUGUAAGUAGACAUAUAUUGUAAAAUUGAUAAAAACAAGGAUUUAAGUUAUAUAUGGAGUACUAACUAUAGAAAUUUAGUUAUGACUAACUUACUUCACCAGAUGCAAGGAAAUAUUACUGAUAAACUGUUUAUACUAUUGAAGAUUCUACGUGGAUGCGGUACCCAUUAGAGUCUACAAGAACAACGAAGCAAAAGGAAUUCCAUUCCCCAAAUUCCAACCCAUGGGAGUGUACUCAACAUUGUGGGAAGCCGACGACUGGGCAACGAGAGGUGGAUUAGAGAAAAUAAAUUGGAGCAAAUCCCCAUUUUACGCAUAUUACAAGGACUUUGACAUAGAGGGAUGUGCAAUGCCAGGACCAGCAAACUGUGCCUCAAAUCCUCGCAAUUGGUGGGAAGGAGCUAAUUACCAACAACUCAGUGCUGCGGAAGCAAGGCAAUAUCGCUGGGUUAGAAUGAACCACAUGAUCUAUGAUUAUUGCACCGACAAAUCCAGAAAUCCAGUCACCCCACCAGAAUGUGUGGCUGGAAUAUGAAACUUUACAUCAACUGUUAAUUAUUUAUACAUAUUCAUUCCUACUUAUAGAUAUCCGUACAUGUGACCCUACAAAAGAAAAUUGUUAUAUUUGUAUUGAUAUGGACAGUCAUGCUCAUGUCUGGAUGCUCGGUGAUAUUGUGAACGUGAGAUGAGUACUAAGAUUAAGGAGUGGGAAAAAGUCAGAUGUUUAUUGCUG
rnacentral:lncRNA from 1 species